rnacentral:rRNA from 1 species
AGAGUUUGAUCCUGGCUCAGGAUGAACGCUAGCGGCAGGCCUUAUACAUGCAAGUCGAACGGUAACAUUGGUGCUUGCACCAGAUGACGAGUGGCGCACGGGUGCGUAACGCGUAUGCAACCUACCUUUUACUAGAGUAUAGCCCAGAGAAAUUUGGAUUAAUCCUCUAUAAUAUCUUUUAAUUACAUAAUUAUUAGAUUAAAGUUUUAACGGUAAAAGAUGGGCAUGCGUCCUAUUAGUUUGUAGGUGAGGUAACGGCUCACCUAGACUACGAUAGGUAGGGGCCCUGAGAGGGGGAUCCCCCACACUGGUACUGAGACACGGACCAGACUCCUACGGGAGGCAGCAGUAAGGAAUAUUGGACAAUGGACGAAAGUCUGAUCCAGCCAUGCCGCGUGCAGGAUGAAAGCCCUAUGGGUUGUAAACUGCUUUUAUACAGGAAGAAAAACUCCGACGUGUCGGAACUUGACGGUACUGUAAGAAUAAGGAUCGGCUAACUCCGUGCCAGCAGCCGCGGUAAUACGGAGGAUCCAAGCGUUAUCCGGAAUCAUUGGGUUUAAAGGGUCCGCAGGCGGUCUUUUAAGUCAGAGGUGAAAGCCUACAGCAUACGGCUACCUUGUUACGACUUCACCCCAGUCGCUGAUCCUACCGUGGCCGCUUGCCUCC